rnacentral:rRNA from 1 species
GACGUAGGGCGCGAGCGUUGUCCGGAUUUAUUGGGCGUAAAGAGCUCGUAGGCGGCUUGUUGCGUCGACCGUGAAAACCCGGGGCUCAACUUCGGGCUUGCGGUCGAUACGGGCGGGCUAGAAUUCGGUAGGGGAGACUGGAAUUCCUGGUGUAGCGGUGAAAUGCGCAGAUAUCAGGAGGAACACCGGUGGCGAAGGCGGGUCUCUGGGCCGAUAUUGACGCUGAGGAGCGAAAGCGUGGGGAGCGAACAGG